GGCUUGUGUAAAAACUGGUUCAAUUUUCUUUUUGCCUCGUGACUUAAGAAUGUGUUAUUGUGGUUUCUACUUGCCUGGGGAGGAAGAGGGAAAGACAGCCUUUUUCUACCCAACCAGUAUAGUUUUUCAAACUUAAGAUGAGACAACAGGUAAUACA